AAAUCUAAACGUCUGAUCAAAUGACGGUCCAAAUUUGAGUCAAUAAUAUCAGCACCAAAGGCUCGUCUUUGCCUCCCCAAAAUUAAUUCACCGUUUUUUCAUCGUCCUCAAAAAUCAACGAUGAACAGAGCUUCCUCUCUUCUCCUUUCUCUUCUACAUCCCAAAAAAUAGUGUCGAUAGGCAGCCAUAGCUAUGGCAUAACAGUUAACUUAAGCAACCUGCCCCUAUCUCGUCGUUACAGACCCAAACAGUGAACGGAGGAAAAUCGGCUCAGGACAGCCUUCAGUAGCUUCGAAAAAAUAAAAAUUUGUCCAAAAAAUUUGAAAUUCAGUUUUUUUCUCAAGUUGUUGUUUCAAAUCCGGACUUUUGAAGUCUGGAUUUCGCCUAUAAAAGGGGUGUUUUUCAACCCCAGAAGAACAAGAAAAAGAAUUGGAGGAAGAAGCAAAAGAUUUGUGAGGAAAUCUCUGAGUUCAGAGUCCUGUAUCGAGUCUACGCUCGUCGGAAAACUCUUGACAUUUGCUGCCCUGAAUAAGAAGACAUUGAGGCGUCCUUGUCAAGAUCGAGACGUGGUAUGGGGAUGGCGCAUCCGUCGGGGAAAGGUCCAGCCAGGAAGUCUAAAGAAGGGAUUCAAUGAUAGGGUGCUGAGUUUAGUCGUUUUGGUUCUUCUGCCCAUAGAAGUUACUAUUUUGCAAGUUUGGUUAAAUUGCAAUGGUGACAAGACCUUUUUUUAAAUGUUUCCUGACACUUGCAUAAUUUGUUUGUGCUGCCAAACUAUAAUUUGUCUGCCUGCAGAGUGUACAAGGAUUUCAAGUGAGCAUGAUUAACAUGCACUUUAAUAUUUUAAUGAUUUUCGUUGGUUCAUUCA